UGCGCUUCGACCGGAUCACGGGAUNUUGCUCCUNGACCUCAGCGGCGGACNGGUGAGUAAUGCCUAGGAAUCUGCCUGGUAGUGGGGGACAACGUUUCGAAAGGAACGCUAAUACCGCAUACGUCCUACGGGAGAAAGCAGGGGACCUUCGGGCCUUGCGCUAUCAGAUGAGCCUAGGUCGGAUUAGCUAGUAGGUGAGGUAAUGGCUCACCUAGGCGACGAUCCGUAACUGGUCUGAGAGGAUGAUCAGUCACACUGGAACUGAGACACGGUCCAGACUCCUACGGGAGGCAGCAGUGGGGAAUAUUGGACAAUGGGCGAAAGCCUGAUCCAGCCAUGCCGCGUGUGUGAAGAAGGUCUUCGGAUUGU
rnacentral:rRNA from 2 species